rnacentral:lncRNA from 1 species
GUGCUUUAUCUUUGUAUAAAUAGACUGUGUCAUCUUUGAUUUGGUUGAAGUGAUGCCAAAAUUGCGGUAUUCCCAUAUAUGAUAAGGGAAUGUGAGGGCUUUGUAGUCCCCACAUAUAUUUCCAGAAAAAAUGAAAAGUUUUUACUUAAUUACUUUUAUAUCCUAUUUUUAUAUAAUGGCUUUUAUCUGCAUCCAGGUUGGCUCUAGAAGUAUCUUUCUCAUUCCAAAAAUCAGACGCAAGACCCUUCUUUCCAACAAUCUUCUCUUCCUCUUUUCAACUGGUGUAGUCAUCUCAGGUAUGCUUUUAGUAAUGUUUUACCAAAAUCUUCUUCUAAUUCUUUUCAGUUUUUUCAAAUUCAUGGCUGAUGAUAUUUUUCUGCCUCUUUUCAAUGUUCUUUGGCCUUCGUUUUCUUCUUUUUGUUGCAGUCUUUGUCUUUGACUUAUGUUCUUAAAGUAAGAUUAGGCCAUGAAGCAGUAUCAGAUGCUUCUUCUAGGGCUGGUUUUAAGAAUAUAUGAGCUUUUCUCUUUUCAAUCUCAACAGUUGUGAGCAAGUAUGACUUAAUUUUAUUCAGCGUUCCAAACAGUAACUUUGCCUAAAACAAAAGUCUAGGCAAUUCCCUGGCAAGUUCAAAUUUCUUAUAUCUGUUUGAGUUUGAACCAACUCGAAAUGUCUGCUUUUGGUUGGUCUAUGUUCUAAGCGAGUUCUUUUCUUCUUCUCCUUAGGAAAGAGGCGCAAGAGAUAAAGUAACUAACAAUGUUUGGAGUAGUGUUCCCAAACCGAAGCUCCCCUAUGGAUAUCUCCACCUUUGCUCAAAUUGACACCACCCAUUGGGUUCUUCACAUGAACAUCUUUGUUGGUGUCACGACCCGAAUUUUCCAUCAUCGGGAAUUGUGAUGACGCCUACUCUCUUAAUUAUAAUUCCAUUUAACAACACUUAUUUUAAAACAAUUAACAAUAAAUAAUGUGAAUAUUGUGAAGUAGUAAAUUUAGCGGAAGACUUAAUAAAUUUUACUAGGUGCGAAACUGAAAUUCCAACAACAAACACUAUUCAAGAAUUGAUGUCCCAAUUCUCACGAACUUCUAAGAAUAAUACACAAAAACGUAUGAAAGAAAUAUAAUACUGUUUGUCUCGAAUACAAGAGAUAACACACUGAAAGUAAAGAUAGAGGAGACGUCGGGUCCUGCGGACGCCUGCAAGUUACCUCGGUGUCUCGAUAAUCAAAAGCUAACAACCGCACUACCGUUGCUAUUGUCCAAAACCUGUAUCUGUGCAAAAGAGCGCAGAGUAUAGAAUCAGCACAACCGACCCCAUGUGUUGGGUAAGUGCCCAGCCUAUUCCGGCGAAUUAGUGACAAGGCUAGGACCAGACACUCACGUAAAUCUGUACAGUUCAAGAUAUAUAUAUAUAUAUAUAUCAAAAUCACAUGAAAACAACAUUUAAUAUUUAAGGAGGGAAAUCAUGCUCUAGAGUAGAAACCAAAUAAAAUGUCAGAAAUAGAAUAAAGAAAUUUAAUUCACUUUCAGAUUUCAACUCAUCUUGAACAGGCGUGCAACCUGUUUUCAUCACAAUAAAAUUGAUGGCAGAACGUAUCACUCAUUAUCAUUUCAAUAUACAUAUAAGGGAUUGACCCCAACUUAGCAAUUAUAAAUGGUUGGCACACCAUACGAUCCCAAUUCAUUAUUUAUAUAGUGGACGGCAUGACACACGAUUUCAUUUUAAUAUAUAAAUGAUUGCCGUGCUACACGAUUUCAUUUCAAUAUAUAAGUGGUUGGUGUGCCACACGAUCCCCUUUCAAUUUAACACAGUUCACAAUAUAUAUAUAUAUAUAUAUAUAUAUAUANNNNNNNNNNNNNNNNNNNNNNNNNNNNNNNNNNNNNNNNNNNNNNNNNNNNNNNNNNNNNNNNNNNNNNNNNNNNNNNNNNNNNNNNNNNNNNNNNNNNNNNNNNNNNNNNNNNNNNNNNNNNNNNNNNCAUAUUUUUCCAAAAAAAAUAUAAACUGCAAGAGAAAACAAUAACUCGAUACCAAGGCUCAACAAUUAAAUUCUUCCACAGAAUCAAAUAGCAAUGAGGGAUUAUCAAGGGAAAAAUUAUAUCUCUUUUGCUUUUAAUCCACUUCUUACUCAUUUAUCAUGCCAUCGUCCGAGCCAACGCUCCAGGAAAUUACAAUUUAUAUUUUUUCUUCUCACACUUAUCACAUUAAUUAGAAAACCAACAAUUAGGUGUGGAAGAGUUACAUCAAUAUCAAACAAUCACGAAUAAAGACUCACGGUCAUACUAGACCCUCAACAUAUAGAUACUUGUCACCAUGUCUAUACGUCGGACUCCGUACAUAGCAAUUAGUAAAUAGAUUUAACUCCUAUUCCAUCAAGCUAUGAUAGAUCAAACACUUACCUCGAAGGUUUACGUUAAAUUCAAUCCUUUAGCAAUGCCUUUUCCUUUAGAAUUUGGCUCCAAUUCAAUCGUAUCUAUAUACAAUUGAUUAUCAUCAAUUCUACUCAACAAAAUAUUUCAAAUGGCUAAAUAUAUAUUUCACAACAUUCUGCCCGGAAUAGUGAAAAUCGACCCCGUGCCCACGUGGUCAAAACACGAGGUUCGAACCAAUUUCCGACAACCCAUUCAUGUACGAGUCCAAAUAUAUAAUUUGUUCUUAAGUUCGACCCCAAAAUAAGGUCUAGAUCGAAAAAAUAUUUGAAAGUCCUAACUCUACCCAAAAUUCCCAUUUUUACCCAUGAAAACCUUGAUUUUUUAAGAUGAAAACAAGAUAAAAGUUGUUAAAGAUUGAAGAAAUUAGUUAAAAGUUGACUUACCGAUAGUUUGAAGAAGUGGGAGUUCGUGGAAAAUCGUCAGAGGUGUUUGGUUUUUGGAAAAACAUGUAAUGAGCUUCCAAAUCGUUUAAGUCUGACAUAUACUGCAGGUGUUCGCAAUUUCGAAGUCUAAACAGCUGACUUCGCAAAUGCGAACAAAAGUUCGCAUUUGUGAACUCUAGGCUAAAAUGGGGGAGUUCGCAUUUGCGAACAAUUGUUCGCAUUUGCGAACUAUGGGCUACAAAGGGGGACUUCGCCAAUGCGAACACUGCAGGUCAGGCAUACAGCAGCUGUCCAACAAGCCAAAAAUGAACUCGUGGCCUAUCCAAAACUUAUCCGAGCAUUCUGGACUCCAAAUCAAAUAUGCACACUAACUCAAAAACAUCAUACGAAGUUGCUCGCGCGAUCAAAUCGCCAAAAUAACAUCAAAAUCAAUGAUUUGAGCCUAAAUUCCAAGAAUUCUUUCAAAUUUCAUAAACUUUCAAAUCUAACAAUUUAAGGCCGAAACACGUCAAACGACGUCCGUUUUCAACCAAACUUUACAGGAAGCGCUUAAUCAACAUAUAUGACCUGUACCAGGCGUCAGAACCAAAAUACGAGGCCGAUACCAUUACUUUUUUAUCAAAUUUUAUUUUUAUUUUCCUUAAACAUUUUCAGAAAAUAAUUUCACGGAAAAAUUCAUAUCUUGAACUUGGGAUCUCGGAAUUUGAUUUCGGGCAUACGCCCAAGUCCCAUAUUGUUCUACGAAUUUUUCGAGACCGUCAAAUUACGGGUCCGGGUCCGUUUACUAAAAAUAUUGAUCAAGAUCACUUUUAACAAUAUUAAUAUUAAAAUUAUUCAAAUUUUUCACAUAAUUCAUAUAUCUCAACAAUAAAAAUUUUCGGCUUAGCACGCGAAUUACGCACGUAAAGUAAAGUAACCAAUAGUAAGAUUUUCAAGGCCCCUAAAGCUCAAAAUGACUAAUAAAACAAGUGACACGCUCGAUCAAUUUAUGCUUUUUCACCAGCCCGACAGUUCUAACGUGACACGUGCAGGGGAAGCGUACGAUUCAAUUCGUGAAGUCUGCUAUUCCAUAUCAACAACUACACGCUGCCACCAGACAAGGCCCUCGCUGUGUCUAUCCAAUUUUCUAUAAGGGAGAAUGUGAGGGCUUUUGUGGUCCUCACAUAUAUUUCCAAAAAAAAUAUAAACUUUUACUUAAUUACUUUUAUGUCCUAAUCUUAUAUAAUCCUUUAUCUGCAUCCAGGUUGGCUCUAGAAGUAUUUUCUCAUUCCAAAAAUCAGACGCAAGACCCUUCUUUCCAACAAUCUUCUCUUCCUCUCUUCAACUGGUGUAGUCUUCUCAGGUUUGCUUUUAGUAAUUGUUUACCAAAAUCUUCUUCUAAUUCUUUUCAGUUUUUCCAAAUUCAUGGCUGAUGAUUUUUUUCUGCCUCUUUUCAAUGUUCUUUGGCCUUCGUUUUCUUCUUUUUGUUUGUCUUUCUGCCUUUAAGCUGUUAUGUUACUUUCGCAUGAUUUUUAUUUUUUUCUUCGAUCUCCAAAAUACAGAAAGAUUAGCCGUUCAGUCCGUUUCGUCUUCUCAGUUGGUCUAUUCUUGGAAGUUAAUAUGAAUUUUCAAGUUGGUAAUUUAUUUUAUCUGUCAUCAGCUAAAAAUAUUUCUGGAUUUUAGCACAUUUUAGACGCAGGAUCUAUGCAUAUAGACAACAACUUAAAUUAAUUUGUAGACUUUACAGUAUAGUUCUUCUUCUGCUCAUUGAGAUUAUCGUACGGUUCCUCAUUUUUAGCUUUUUUCUUUUUUAUUCGGGUAUAUUAUAUAUUUUGGAAAUUUGUGCUUUUGCUACUGUGCACGGAGUACCUAUAAAAAUUUAAUUUUGGAACUUGAUAUCUGCUUCUUUGUUCUUCGUGAUUUUGUAGGGGCUCCUCUUUUGAAACUCUGAGCCUAGGCCUUUAGAUAUAUAACAGAGUACCCCUUUUUAGUGAAAUGGCUGUUGUCAUCAAUUCGUUGUCUAAUUUUCUCCUCAUUAUUUGUUGACCAAAUGGACCAGUGUGACAGAAAUAUAUAUUCCUGUGUAGUGUACUUUUUUAGAGUGUUUAAUAAAUUAGUAAAAAUGAAACAAAAUGUGAUUAUAUGCUUGUGCAGAAACUUGCCCACAUACAAAGCCAAAAAAGCUCAAACUUUUAAGUCAAUAAAGGACACUAAUUUUCUAAUGUAAGUAAAGGCUACAAUUCUGUACUGGAGAAUUACUGCAAUAUUUCAAUCUAUGUAACAAAAAGAGCCAAAUCUACAGUAGCUCAUUCACGUGAAUAUCACUACCUUUAGCCAAACUCAUAGCAUAUUUUUCAAUGGCAUGGGUCUUCUAAGAUAAUAUUUCCUCCUGUCCAAAAUAAAAAAUUUUUUGACUUUUUUUGUGGUCCGAACUAAGUGAUUUUUUCAGAUUUCAAGAAUGAAUUAAUUUUUUUUUAUAUUGUUCAUGGAGUAAAUAGUGUUGGAAUGUGUGUUAGGAGUGUUUAUGCGAGAUAAUAAAGGUUAAUAUAGUCAAUUUUAUUGCUAAUUAAUGUUAAAAGAUGAAUUUCUUAAUUUGUGUGUAUUUUGGACGGAAGGAGUACACAACACCAACUAAAAGGAAACUUGGGCACAUACAAAGCCAAAAAAGCUCAAAUUUCCAAGUCAACAAAAGGAUACUAAUUUUCUACGGCAGGUAAAGGCUACAAUUCUGUCCCUAUCUAUCUAAUAAGAAAGGUCUAAAUUCGUAGGAAAAAUAAAUUUACAUAAAUAAAAUAUUCGGGUCUUUGCAUAGACGUGAAAGAUAAAAUUAGAGUAACCAACACGUAGUAAAAUAAAAGAUAUGCAUGGCUACUUUUUUCUCACAAAUUCUCGACAUAAAGGUCCCACGUUAAAGCUAGACCCCACAAUCUUGAAUUUGCCCAAAAAGUUUAGUAUGGGAGUGAGCGGUGAAGGGUAGGGAGGGGGAGGAGCAGCUGUAAUGAUGGGAAUGCUAAAAGCGGAAGAUUUGUUUAAGCCUGCUAAAGGAGUGAAUGGUCAAAAUUAGAAGGAUUAAGUAGGCACUUGGAUAUAAAAAUUGUAAUUUUUGAAGGAAAAAAAAGGUAGUAUUUGGUGUUAAAGUUAAAAAAUAAUAAUUGAAAUUUGGAAUUAUGUUUGGACGUAUAUUCCAUUAGAAAAAAUAUUACAAUUUUGUGUGUGGGAAAUAUUUUUUUUUAAAUGAUUUUAAAAACAUAAUUUAGAAAUUUUUAAAAAACUUGCAAAAUUUCAUGGACAAACAUAUUUUCGAAUUUCUUUUUGAAAAAGGAAAUUUUUUUUGGAGAAACGGGCCUAAAAUAGGCUCAAAAUUAUUCCCUCCGUUUACGUAUUUUACUUUUCUUUUAACUUUUGUGAUAUUUAUGUGGAUAUUUAUUUCAUCAAGACUAAAAUAAAAUAUAUAAAGUUAAAUUAUUUUAAAUAUAAAUUUAUAUAAUUUCUUGGGGCAUGUUUAAAAAAAAGUGCAUUACAUAAGUUGGCACAAGAGAAUACUAUUUUUAAUUUUUUAUUUUUAAUAAAUCAGUGGGAUCUUGUCAAUAUAUAUAUGAAAAUGUAUCAGAAAGGUUAAAUCAUCUCCUACGACUCCAAGACACGAGUGAUGUGGCAGUCCUCAUGAACUUUUUAUAUUUUUGGACCAAAUAAGAUAAUUAACACCCAAACAAAAAUGCAGAAAAAAAAUAUAAACUUUUCACUUAAUUACUUUAUGUCCUUGACAAGAUGGGUUGCUCUGAUGGUAAGCAAUCCUUACUUCCAACCAAGAGGUUGUAAGUUCGAGUCUCUCCAAGUGAAAGGUGGGAAGUUCUUGGAGGGAAGGAUGUCGGGGGUGUAUAUGGAAACAGUCUCUCUACCCAAGGGUAGGGGUAAGGUCUGCGUACACAUUAUCCUCCCUAGAUCCCACUAAGUGAGAUUAUACUGGGUUGUUGUUUUUGUUGUUGUACUUUUAUGUCAUGAUUUUACUUUUUGUUUUAUGGUUUACAACUUGCUAUAUUAUUUAAUGUCUCAGUAACACGUGUGAGUUUACUGCAAUAGUAGGCUUUAUUUAUUUUUAUUUUUUAUUUAUUUUUAAAAGCCCUCCCAAAUUAGGAAUAUAUAGUGUUUUCAUACUCCCCCUCUAACGUGACUCGAUCUUAGGACCUAACGAUCGUAAGCGGAGGUGCUUACCACUGAGCAAGCCUCAUUUGUCUGCCUUAUUGAAUUUGUAAUUUACACGUUAAGCAAGGUUAAAGGCUAUUAUGCUGAAUGGACCACAAGUAUAUUUGGCAUUCCCAUAGUUUCUAUUAGAAAGAUUAUAUGAGCUUCACUUAAAUAGCAAUGAUUAUUACUAUCAUCUCACAUCCAACUAUCCCUUAAAUUGCUAUCCUUAUUAAACAUUACACUAAUUAUCUAAUUUUAAAGUGUGUUACAUAUUUUUUUUUCUUCAUUUAAUAAUGUUUGGAAGCAAAUAAAUAUUUUUUGGCUAAAUAUUUUAUUUAUAAUAAGGGGAAAUAGAAUUUUUUUUUCCUGCCAUCACAUUCAAGUUUUCAAAAUCGUUGCCUUUACAGUUGUUAUUUUUUUGUCUAUCAAUUUUGUGGGUGUUGAGUUAACAAUACCACUUUUAAGUCUAUUUUAUAAUUCUUUGGUCGCUUAUAAGAGAUAAUACAUAGUAUCUUUCUACAUUCACUUCUCACCCUAUACUAACCUUCAAAUGGAGUCUUGGUUGCAUUUUAACUAGAAUAUUUGGUUUUAUAAUUCGAAUUGUUGAAGUAAUAUAGCUUUAUGUACCUUUUAUCUUUACAAAUUAAAGAAAAACAUGUAAGCAUCCAAACUCCUAUUUAUUAGUCUUCAUAAUUUUAUCGCUAUAAUAGUAAAAACACAUCCUUUAAAAGUGAAAAGGAUCAAAUAUUAACAAGAUGAGUAAAAUAUAUUAAGCCUAAUAUUUUAAAACUUUGUUGGCGCGUGGACAUUUAUAUAUAUAUUUUUUUGGUUAAGGAGAUUGUAGGACUUUCACCGCUCAUGCUAUUUGAAAGAGCUUUCUUAGCAUUAAUGAAACUGAAAUCCCACUAUUUUUAUAGAUUAGGAGUACUCCCUACUCUGUAAUAUUAUUAUUAACAAACACAUAUAUCAAUUUGUAAAUGGAGUAAAAUUACCUUUGUCUUCUUUUUCUGUUUUCAAAAAUGAACUUUAUUUAAUGUACUAGAUUGUGUGAAUGUAGUUUACAGCCUUGUUUAACCUUUACCGUUAGUUUUAGAAUUUAGGAUAUAAGAUACCCUUUUUGAUACUUGAAGGACUAUAUCUGUUAAGAAAGUACAUAUUACGAACUAGAAUAUUUCAACCUCGAUACGUUAUGGUCCAUUUUGAUCAUUUUCUCUAUAUGGUAAUUAAUUAACACUUUAACUUGGCGUGUUUAGCUCUUAAAUUUUUUUAUUUUGUCUACGAGUGGAAAUGUGAGCGGUUGGCUUUGGCGGCAGUGGCAAAGCCAAAAAUUUUUAUCUAGGGUGUUCAAACGUGAAAGAAGUAAAAAAAAUUUCGAUAAAUGAUGUUCAAUAUAUAUUAUAUACCACUGAAAUUUAAUUUUUUACAUAUAUAUACAGUGUAAUUUUUCGACGAAGAGUGGUCAGUUAAGGCUAUGUAGCUUCGCCCCUGUUUGGAGUGUAUGAGAAGAGAUAGAGGACGGCUUAAGAAGAAUUUGGGAAAUGUGAUCAGGCAGGACAUAACUUAAGAUUUCCGAGAAUAUGGUCCUUGAUAGGAAGGUGUAGAGGUCAAGCAUUAGGGUUGAAGAUUAGGAGGUUGUUGAGUAUUUUUUUCCACUUCAUACGGGGUAUGAGGCUAGUCUAAUAGUGUUUUGUCUUUUAGAAUGCUAGUGGUUAAUGUAGUGUUCAGUGUCCACUAUUGGACUUUUUAUAAUUGGUUAUUGUUAUUGCUUUUCUAUCUAUUUUCGGGCUCUUACGAUGCUGUUAUUAUUUUUCCGCUUUCUAUUGCCGCUACUUAUCUAUUAUCUUUUUUUGUCUUCUUGAGCGGUCUAUCAUAAACAACCUCUUUACCCUUCGGGGUAGGGGUAAGUUUGUAUACAGACUAUCCUCUCUAAAUUCCCACUUGUAAAAUUUCAAUGAGUUAUUGUCGUUGUUUACAAGUGGAAGUAAAAAUACGUCAAUCCUAUUGCACAAAAUUAAUCAAAUAUAAAGCUGCUUGGACUUCAUAUGAGUAUCCGAUUCUCUAAAAGCGUAAAAGAAGAAACUUUGAAGACUUUUAUUUCAUUGCUCAAAGAUGAAAGAGUACACAGCUAAUUCAACUGAAAAACAAUACAGGACCCUAAGCUACAAACAAAAGCUUUGAAUUCAAAUUUCAUCCAAACUAAAACCAGUUUAAAAUGGCAGCAGCCUCCACCUUUUAAAGGCUAAAGAGUCUGCAACACUUUCCCCGAGAACUAAGCACAUUCGAAGGGAAAAAAAGAAAAAAAAAUUGAUCUUUUACUUGGGCAGUCCAGUUUCUGGAUUGAGGAGAGCAUAGCUAUCGUCCGUCAGCAAAACUGGACCUCUACCUGGUCUUGUGCAGAUGAAGUAGCUAAUUUCACCCUUGUAUUUCUGAGCUGGAACUUUGUCCUUAAUUUCAGGUGGAGGAAGCAAUGCUUCCACAUCCUUUAUAUCCUAAAUCCCAGCAUCCUUCAGAAUCAGACUUAUAGCCUAUGACAUAGCUGAGAGAAGGGAAAAAGAACAAUGAGGAGCAGCGAAGAUGGUAAUGGAUGCAUGUUGAUAACACAAGGUCCAGAAUACAUAUCGUGGUGGGCAGGGUCGGAUGCACGCUUAACAAAGCAGUAUCACGUGACAUCGCUUCGUCGAAAUUUUUAUUAAAUAUAUGUAUUAAUACUAUGAGGAAACAGAUUAGUAGGAAAAAAUGACACCACUUAACAUAAAUUGUCUUUGAUGUGUUGGUUAUGUACUUGAUUAAUUGAUUGUGAUGAAAUAGAAUUGAACUCAUGACCAUUUUUACUUAAGUUAAGACUCAACAAAACCAAUAAACUAAGACUAUUUCUUGGCUAGAAGUACGAUAAUUAAAGUUAUUAUUUCCGUCUUCCAUAAAUUUCGAUACCGCUUACAAAAAUUCCUACGUUCUUGAUGGUAGGGUGUGUUGGUACGUAGGAAAAUAUUUUAUUUUCUAGUGUUUGGUUGCCAGAAAAUACUUUCUAGGGAAAAUAUUUUCCAUUACUUUUCGGCAU